rnacentral:rRNA from 1 species
GCUAGAGUAGGUGAGAGGGAAGUAGAAUUCCAGGUGUAGCGNUGAANUGCGUAGAGAUCUGGAGGAAUACNGAUGGCGAAGGCAGCUUCCUGGCAUCAUACUGACACUGAGGCUCGAAAGCGUGGGUAGCAAACAGGAUUAGAUACCNUGNUAGUCCACGCCGUAAACGAUGUNUACUAGUCGUUGGGGAACNUGAUUCNUUAGUGACGCAGNNAACGCAAUAAGUAGACCGCNUGGGGAGUACGGCCGCAAGGUUAAAACUCAAAUGAAUUGNCGGGGGCCCGCACCAGCGGUGGAGCAUGUGGUUUANUUNGAUNCAACGNGAAGAACCUUACCUGGUCUUGACAUAUCUAGAAUCCUGCAGAGAUGCGGGAGUGCCUUCGGGAAUUAGAAUACAGGUGCUGCAUGGCUGUCGUCAGCUNGUGUNNUGAGAUGUUGGGUUAAGUCCCGCAACGAGCGCAACCCUUGUCCUUAGUUACCAGCGGGUUAAGCCGGGAACUNUAAGGAUACUNCCAGUGACAAACUGGAGGAAGGCGGGGANGACGUCAAGUCAUCAUGGCCCUUACGACCAGGGNUACACACNUGCUACAAUGGUAGGUACAGAGGGCAGCUACACAGCGAUGUGAUGCGAAUCUCAAAAAGCNNAUCGUAGUCCAGAUUGGAGUNUGCAACUCGACUCCNUGAAGUAGGAAUCGCUAGUAAUCGCGGAUCAGAAUGCCGCGGUGAAUACGUUCCCGGGCCUUGUACACACCNCCCGUCACACCAUGGGAGUUGAUUGCACCAGAAGUGGUUAGCNGAACCUUUUAGGACGGC